rnacentral:tRNA from 1 species
UAGAUUAUAUCUUAAUUUAAAGUAUUUCAUUUACAUUGAAAAGAUAUUAUUUAAUAAUUAAUCUUA